GUGAGAAAUACUCGAAGUUUCAGUAACAGUGUCUUUGGGUCCUAGCGGCCACCUGUGGAGAGAGAACAGGACGAGAGUGAAUCAUCGAAGAGCAAACUGUGAACGUGAUACCUACCCAGAGAGCUGUAAGCAGCAGAACCGUGACUAUCUGUGGGGCACAAGGCGAACGUGGGCGGACGUACGACAGGGAACGUAAGGGCACGUGGGGCGAGGACCCCCUGCCGACCCGAGGAAAGAUACACCGACAGUGGAGAUCCUCCUUACCAGUCACACCAAAAUUAUUCUGCCUCCAGGACGGAAGAAGGAGGGCGCCACGGUUAGCAGGGUCCAGGCCGGAGCCUGACGUUUCCCUUUCUCCCCCGGCUUAUGGUGGUUGGCACCCCUGUUGCCCUUGGCCUGUCUGCCCGUGGCUGCAGUCUCCCUGGAGGGAGACGAAGAGACCUAUUAGUUUUAAAUUCCCCUUUCCCCCAAAUUCCCAGUUCUUUUAGAUAUUUAAACUAAAUAAAGCUUGUUUUAAAUUUUA